UCACUUGGGUUCAAUGCAAUGCUCCUUGCUCUGGCUGCACAGUGGGUCCUCCAUUUCAGUACACGCCUAAGGCAAACACUGUCCCGUGUUCAGACCCGAUUUGUUCGGCUCUUCACUGGCCUAACAAGCCUCAAUGCCCAAACCC